GGUGUCGCCAAGCGGUAAGGCACUGGAUUUUGAUUCCAGUAUUCGUAGGUUCAAAUCCUGCCACCC
rnacentral:tRNA from 1 species